rnacentral:rRNA from 1 species
GACGAACGCUGGCGGCGCGCCUAACACAUGCAAGUCGAACGGAGUCAAGAGGAGCUUGCUUUUCUUGACUUAGUGGCGAACGGGUGAGUAACGCGUGAGUAACCUGCCCUGGAGUGGGGGACAACAGUUGGAAACAACUGCUAAUACCGCAUAAGCCCACGGAUCCGCAUGGAUCUGCGGGAAAAGGAUUUAUUCGCUUCAGGAUGGACUCGCGUCCAAUUAGCUAGUUGGUGAGGUAACGGCCCACCAAGGCGACGAUUGGUAGCCGGACUGAGAGGUUGAACGGCCACAUUGGGACUGAGACACGGCCCAGACUCCUACGGGAGGCAGCAGUGGGGGAUAUUGCACAAUGGGGGAAACCCUGAUGCAGCGACGCCGCGUGGAGGAAGAAGGUUUUCGGAUUGUAAACUCCUGUCGUUAGGGACGAUAAUGACGGUACCUAACAAGAAAGCACCGGCUAACUACGUG